UUGACCUCGGAUCAGGUAGGAUUACCCGCUGAACUUAAGCAUAUCAAUAAGCGGAGGAAAAGAAACCAACAGGGAUUGCCCCAGUAACGGCGAGUGAAGCGGCAACAGCUCAAUUUGAAAUCUGGGCCCUCGGGUCCGAGUUGUAAUUUGGAGAGGAUGCUUUUGGCGCGGCGCCGUCCGAGUCCUUGGA
rnacentral:rRNA from 1 species